AUUGAACGCCGGCGGAAUGCUUUACACAUGCAAGUCGAACGGCAGCAUAGGUGCUUGCACCUGAUGGCGAGUGGCGAACGGGUGAGUAAUACAUCGGAACGCGCCCAGUCGUGGGGGAUAACGUAGCGAAAGUUACGCUAAUACCGCAUACGAUCUAAGGAUGAAAGCGGGGGACCGUAAGGCCUCGCGCGAUUGGAGCGGCCGAUGUCAGAUUAGGUAGUUGGUGAGGUAAAGGCCCACCAAGCCGACGAUCUGUAGCUGGUCUGAGAGGGCGACCAGCCACACUGGGACUGAGACACGGCCCAGACUCCUACGGGAGGCAGCAGUGGGGAAUUUUGGACAAUGGACGCAAGUCUGAUCCAGCCAUUCCGCGUGCAGGACGAAGGCCUUCGGGUUGUAAACUGCUUUUGUACGGAACGAAAAAGCUCUUACUAAUACUAGGAGUCCAUGACGGUACCGUAAGAAUAAGCACCGGCUAACUACGUGCCAGCCGCCGCAGUAA
rnacentral:rRNA from 1 species